rnacentral:rRNA from 1 species
AUUGAACGCUGGCGGCAGGUCUAACACAUGCAAGUCGAGCGGAUGAAGGGAGCUUGCUCCUGGAUUCAGCGGCGGACGGGUGAGUAAUGCCUAGGAAUCUGCCUGGUAGUGGGGGAUAACGUCCGGAAACGGGCGCUAAUGCCGCAUACGUCCUGAGGGAGAAAGUGGGGGAUCUUCGGACCUCACGCUAUCAGAUGAGCCUAGGUCGGAUUAGCUAGUUGGUGGGGUAAAGGCCUACCAAGGCGACGAUCCGUAACUGGUCUGAGAGGAUGAUCAGUCACACUGGAACUGAGACACGGUCCAGACUCCUACGGGAGGCAGCAGUGGGGAAUAUUGGACAAUGGGCGAAAGCCUGAUCCAGCCAUGCCGCGUGUGUGAAGAAGGUCUUCGGAUUGUAAAGCACUUUAAGUUGGGAGGAAGGGCAGUAAGUUAAUACCUUGCUGUUUUGACGUUACCAACAGAAUAAGCACCGGCUAACUUCGUG